UACGUAGGGUGCAAGCGUUGUCCGGAAUUAUUGGGCGUAAAGAGCUCGUAGGCGGUCUGUCGCGUCGGAUGUGAAAACCCAGGGCUCAACCCUGGGCCUGCAUUCGAUACGGGCAGACUAGAGUUCGGUAGGGGAGACUGGAAUUCCUGGUGUAGCGGUGAAAUGCGCAGAUAUCAGGAGGAACACCGGUGGCGAAGGCGGGUCUCUGGGCCGAAACUGACGCUGAUGAGCGAAAGCGUGGGGAGCAAACAGG
rnacentral:rRNA from 1 species